GGAUCGUUGGCUCAGCGGUAGAGCACCUCGGUGACAUCGAGGGGGUCACUGGUUCGAUCCCAGUACGGUCCAC
rnacentral:tRNA from 1 species